AGCAUGAUUGCUGGGUCAUAUGGUAAGAGUAUGUUUAGUUUUGUAAGAAACCACCAAACUAUCUUCCAAAGUGGCUGUACCAUUUUGCAUUUCCACUAGCAAU
rnacentral:pre_miRNA from 1 species